rnacentral:lncRNA from 1 species
UAAAGAAAUACUACAGAGCCCCUAGUUGUAGUAGGAGGAGAAAUAGACAUAACAGACAACAGAGACAUCAGAGACACACACAACAACCAAACCUAGACAAGAGAACUGAGUAACAAAACCUAAACAGAGAUACUAAACUGAGCCUUGGCUGCUAACAAGAACACUGACAAACAAGCGAAACAUUCUUUCACCCCACUAUGACUAUUGCCUCAUCCUCAGACAUAUUUGCAAUUUCAUCCUCCCAAAUGAAGUCAUAUAUUUCAAUUUCAACUUGCUCCUGACCCUAAGGCCAACCUGGAAGCCCAUUUCAUCCAUAAACUGCGCAGCGAGACCUGGACCAUGAGGAGCACCCCAUCCAGCAUCCAAAGCUUCAUCCAUCAACUCCAUUCCAUUUCAUCCAUUGGAACUUCCCUAAACCAAGGAUCCUGGGAACCCAUGCCAAGGUCAAGCUCAGCCAUGCCUACGGGCUCAAAGAACAGGAAGAGGCAAGUGAAUAGAUCCGUUCCUAGCAAGGCAAGAUAUGUAGCCACUUUGUUUCUCCUCGGAUACAUGUACUUAAUGACGCAGUUUCAUGAUACAUUCUUCUUGAGUAUCAUAAUCUGUUGGAUUAUGCUUCUUGCCCCUUGAGGCACCCCAUUGUGUUGAAAUAUCAGAGCGCCAAAUGCUUCUAGAUUAUAUGUUUAGAUGAUAAACUUUCUUGGUGACUCUUCGAAAGCGCGCCUCAUACCCAGAUGAAUAGCUUCAAGUUGCGUUAGCAAUGGAGAGAGGUGGGGAAUAAUACCCGAUAUGCUGCGAGACAUAUUUUCAUUAGCCCUCCUUAAAAUUGCACUAAUCCCUGUCGUGUUUCAAUUGGCCGUCGGAACUGGAAGAGCCGCUCCAUGGACAUUAACCUUAAAAGGAAAAAAAAAAGAAUUAUUAUUUUAAAUAAUGAAGAGGAUUAUAAGUAAUAAAUGAACUUGAUGUAUAAGUAAUUAAAAGCGUUUGUACAAUUUUAUUGAUAAAUCAAAUGAGUGUUUGAUAAUUCAUAUUUAUAAAUUAAAAAAAUAAAUUAUUAAAAUAUCUAAAAUGUUAUUAAUUUAAAUAAAAUUUAUUACACCACAAAAUUUUGAAAUUUUGUAAUAAAAUAUAAAUUACUAAACUUGAUUUUCGUCUUGUGCUUGAAAAACUAAAAAAAACAACUUCUACCUCUUCGAUCAAACAAUAUAAAAGAAGUAGAAGCAAUAUUUUAUAAAAGAAGCUGGAAGUUGGGUUGAUUAACAGCCCAUAACAUGAAUGCGUAAGUAAGAAGGGUGUUGGUGGAAAGAGGAAAGUGCAUUGAGAGAGAGGAGGUUAGAUGUCCUCUUCGCUAGCCGGCAGUGCAACUUCAAAUGCCGCUUUCUUGUCUCCUUUCCUAACUAUCUGUUUUCUUUUGUCCCCCACUCGCUUUCAUUUAUUACGUGCCUUACAUCAAACCCCCUCCUUUUUUUCUCUCGCUUACACCCCUCCAUCUCCUCUCUUAUCCCAUCAAUGCCCUACCCUUCAAUAGUAUUUAUUUCCGACUUCUCUGAAACUCGAACUCUCGAUAAUAUUAUAAACAAAAAUAUAUUCGAUAAUUACUUCGGAUAAUCAAUUCGGUUCGGCUUACGUUUUUAAAAAUUUGUCAUGCUUCUGAAGAGGUAUGAUUGAAGUCGUAUGACAAUGAUUUGAUUAUAGCAGCUGGAAACGGAUUAUUAGUAUGGUACAAAUAAAACAGAGGGGUGUGUAAAUUAAGUUAAUAUGAGGAAGCGUGGUAGCCGUGGUCUGUGGUUGAUAUAGAAAAGAAUGAGUGGGACUUGAGUAGUUGAAAGAUGAUGAAUUUGGCUAAGCAAGAACCUGAAUUAUGUGAAAUUCGUAAUUACCAUUCUCAGUUUACUGCAAAUACAGUCUUCUUCCUACUUUCCCUCCACACUAAUGAUGAUCCGUGUGGUAUUGUUCUUCCACCGCCUAUCUCAAAGUAUCAAGAGCAGCUCCGCUGGCUUAGCAAAAGGUUUUCUAAAUAUAUAUUUGUUGAAAUAUAAAUUAUUUGAUUUUUUUAACAUGUAUCUAUAAACUUUUUAUUAUAUAAUUUUUAUUUAAAAAAAUGAAUUAAAAAUAUGUGAUUAAUAUUACAAUUCAGAAAAAAAAAAUGAUUUUAGUUAUGUUGUCAAACACUUAGAAAUACGUAUCACAUCA